UGGGGAAUAUUGGACAAUGGGCGCAAGCCUGAUCCAGCAAUGCCGCGUGAGUGAUGAAGGCCUUAGGGUUGUAAAGCUCUUUCGCACGCGACGAUGAUGACGGUAGCGUGAGAAGAAGCCCCGGCUAACUUCGUGCCAGCAGCCGCGGUAAUACGAAGGGGGCUAGCGUUGUUCGGAAUUACUGGGCGUAAAGGGCGCGUAGGCGGCUCAUCAAGUCAGGCGUGAAAGCCCCGGGCUCAACCUGGGAAUUGCGCUUGAUACUGGUAGGCUUGAGUUCGGGAGAGGUGAGUGGAAUUCCCAGUGUAGAGGUGAAAUUCGUAGAUAUUGGGAAGAACACCGGUGGCGAAGGCGGCUCACUGGACCGAUACUGACGCUGAGGCGCGAAAGCGUGGGGAGCAAACAGGAUUAGAUACCCCCGUAGUCC
rnacentral:rRNA from 1 species